CCUACGGGAGGCAGCAGUGAGGAAUAUUGGUCAAUGGCCGGAAGGCUGAACCAGCCAAGCCGCGUGAGGGAGGAAGGCGCAGAGCGUCGCAGACCUCUUUUGCCGGGGGACAAAAGGCCGGACUCGUCUGGUCCUGAGGGUACCCGGAGAAAAAGCAUCGGCUAACUUCGGGCCAGCAGCCGCGGAAAUGCGGGGGAUGCGAGCGUUAUCUGGAUUGAUUGGGUUUAAGGGGUGCGCAGGCGGGCCUUUAAGCCGGCGGUGAAAUCGAGGGGCUACACCCCGCCGAGCCGUCGGAACUGGGGGCCUUGAGUGCUGCGGAGGCAUGCGGAACGCGCGGGGUAGCGGUGAAAUGCAGAGA
rnacentral:rRNA from 1 species